CUGGAUGUCAGCGGAGGUUCUGGAUGGCUGGACGUCAGUGGAGGUUCUGGACGGCUGGACGUCAACAGAGGUUCUGGAUGGCUGGACGUCAGCGGACGUUCUGGACGGCUGGACGUCAGCAGAGGUUC